GAGCCUAUAGAGACCUCCAAAAUGGUGUUUAAAUAUUUGUUCUGUCACAUAUGAAGAAAGGUAUGAGCAUUCGAAGGUUGGAGUAUCUUGGUAAUUU